GAAAUAUCGAAAAUACCGACUCUCAAAAAAGUAUCAUGUGGCGACAUCUCGACGAAAUCAAUUUUACCGACCAUCAAUCCGGUCAACAAGUCAGAACGACAUGUGACAAUCGAGGAUAAAAGUCAAAAGCGUUACGACCGAAUAUUAUAAAUAACUUUAACGAACAUGAAAUUGAUGUGACUCCGUUGUGAUUUCGCGAGGAGAUAAAAAAAGAUGCAAACAUGUGAUUUCACGAGAAGAUAAAAUAAGCGGACAUGUUGCAUAGCUAAUGAAACAAAAUACGUACACCUCAAAAAACAAUGAUGAAAAAAAGAAGAAUAUCCUUAUAUAAUUAUACAAACAGGAAAUUGAGAUUAAAAUCAGAUUUUAAAACUUUAGCAGAAGUAGAUAAAAUAAGAUAAAAUAUGCCCAGGGAAUGCGUGUAAAUAAUAGAAAGAAGAAAAUUGAUAUAUGACAUAUAUGGAAACAAAAGAAAGAUGUUAUCGAAGAAAUUAAUACAGCAAUGAAAAGCUUGAAAGGAGGAACAAAAAAUUUCAAUAGCGAAUACAAGGAUGAUACGUUUAUUAUUAUCCUAAAAUGUUUAGAAUCUGCUUAGGACAGUGUCAUAACAAAUGUGUUACAAUACAUACGUUUAUAAUCAAGGAAUAGAAAACUAAAUUCCUCAUCGAAGCAACGAUUAACAACAAUAAUAAUAUGCCAACACAAGAGUUAAACUAAUGAAGAAUCGAAAGAAAGAGAAAUUUUCAAGACAGCAUUCAACGACAAAAGUUCAAGGAAUG